rnacentral:rRNA from 1 species
UACGUAGGGGGCAAGCGUUGUCCGGAUUUAUUGGGCGUAAAGAGCUCGUAGGCGGCUUGUCGCGUCGGAUGUGAAAGCCCGGGGCUUAACUCCGGGUCUGCAUUCGAUACGGGCAGGCUAGAGUUCGGUAGGGGAGAUCGGAAUUCCUGGUGUAGCGGUGAAAUGCGCAGAUAUCAGGAGGAACACCGGUGGCGAAGGCGGAUCUCUGGGCCGAUACUGACGCUGAGGAGCGAAGCGUGGGGAGCGAACAGG